rnacentral:tRNA from 1 species
AUCUAAAUAGUUUAGAAAAAAUAUUGAUUUGUGGAAUCAAAGAAAUAAUUAAUUAUUUUAGAUA